CCGUCUUCCACACCCUUCCUCCUCCUUCCUUCCUCGCUCGUCAGCCGCCACAGCCGCCGUACCCUCCCGCGUCGGACGCCGCUAGACUCGUCCAUGGCUCCAUCUCUCAUCCCAGCCUGACUCAGGCGGAGUCAUGGGUAGCAGAGAGGAGGAAGGGAGGCAGAUGAACGAUGGGGAAGGGGAUGGCAUAAUCCAAUCGCCCCGGGCCGUGCCUACACGAGUAGCCCCGCGGCUUGAUUCUUCCCUGCCUGACGAGGGGUAGGUCUUGACAAUGGCAGCCCGAGGCCGUCAGAUCCGUCACCGUCGUCGUUCUUUUGGUCGAGGAAGCCGUCGUCCACGUGCUCCUUUUCACCACCACUGCUGGACGCUGAUUUGCCCAGUUCCCAGUCCAGAUUUAAUGAAGGAAAUUGUUGUUCAUACAACGUCAAUUAUGGAUAUGGUUCCAUCUUGUUGUGCUGGACGAAGGGUUGGAUGGAAUAAGAAUUGCUUCCUCUAGGAAGAUAUAAUCAGGAGGGACCAUCUAAUAGUUGCUAAAGUUACUUCUGAACGCACUCUCUAAAGAUCGGGCUGGGCUUGACUGGGUUUUUGGAGUUCUCUUCUCGUUUCUUAGGAUCCUCAUGCUGUUUGACAAGGGGUUCCUUGCAAUGGGAAAUGUUCUCUUCGUCUCUGGUGUUUCUCUAACGAUUGGACUGAAGUCAACUUUCCAGUUCUUCACAAAGCCUAAGAAUCGCAAGGAUUGUCCAUCUUUCAGUUGGAUUAAGGUUUUCCUAUUGUCUGCAAAUGAAACGUACUUGAUGUACAUCUGGUAUGAUAAAAGAAGAGAUUGACCUUUUCUUUUGUAAAAUUUUCUGCAGACGAUGUUGUGGAGAUUGAUUUGAGAAUUUGCGUGCUUAUUAGUUCCACUACUUUUUUCUCAUUAACUGAUAUUAGACGUGGUGUAUAAAUGUUGCACCCGACUCUAUUUUUCAAGGAUAUACGAAUGAAGCUAUAGUACUUGCAAACUGUGACUCCUCUUUGCUGGACAAGGAAAGUAAAAUGAUAACCUACCAUGUAGUAAAAUUACAUGGUUGAUCUCUGUUUUGUACAUGUUAGGUGAGCAUUAUGAAAUGUUCUACUUCCCUUAAUAGAGUGUAUUUUCCUCUCAUCAAAUGCUCACUUAUAUUUCUGGAAUAAACAAAUAUUUUGUGUUGUAACAUGUUUUGAGUUUCGAUGAUUUACCAUCUGCCUUCUCCUCUGCUUUAUGUCGCUUCUCUAAAUUAUUUCUCCGGGCCACUACCAUAACUUGCUGGUUUAGUUUAGGUGUGUAGGCAGAAUUUUUCAUGUGAUUGUUUGAAACUACAACCACGUUGAAUGUGCUUUUGUUUAUUUAUCAAGGAUCGACAGUCUGAGAUGUAGUGCAUUUUGAUAUCUGAUGUUGCUGCUAUAAAAUGUGUUGCACUCUGGGUUGUGAUACCUGUACAUCUAACAGGUAGUUCAGACUUUUUCUUUCCAAGUCCUAUUGUGGCUGUACCAUUUUACUUGCGUGUGUAUGCAGGUGUUCUUUUGGCAUCAUACACUCCCCUGUGAAGUGCGUGUUUAAUCAUCAUGCAAUGGGCAUAUGGAUUUGAGGUGUAAGGUGGUGUUGGAACUGAUUGAUGCUACUGGGUUCUUCAUAUGUUUUGUUCUUGGAACGUUUGUGCCAUUAAAAAUUCAAACAAUGUAUGCGUGCUCGCUUAGCUCUAACCAUAUGCCAUGCGCUGGCUUUAGUUUGGUUAAAGAAGUCAACUCCAUUAGAGAGUUUAUAGCUUUGUACAGUGUCUACAGUUCUAGAGCUUCAUUUUUCCUAUUGCCAUGCGUGUACAGUUUCAGAGCUUCAUCACAUUGUGGUAGGGAAAGAUAGUAUGCAGAAUGUCAAAAGCUUUAUUUUUGUCCA